rnacentral:rRNA from 1 species
AUUGAACGCUGGCGGAAUGCUUUACACAUGCAAGUCGAACGGCAGCACGGGGGCAGCCCUGGUGGCGAGUGGCGAACGGGUGAGUAAUACAUCGGAACGUGCCCGGUCGUGGGGGAUAACGUAGCGAAAGUUACGCUAAUACCGCAUACGAUCUGAGGAUGAAAGCGGGGGACCUUCGGGCCUCGCGCGAUCGGAGCGGCCGAUGUCAGAUUAGGUAGUUGGUGGGGUAAAGGCCUACCAAGCCGACGAUCUGUAGCUGGUCUGAGAGGACGACCAGCCACCGUGGCACUGGGCCCGGGCCCAGCCCCCUCCGGGGGGCCGCGGUGGGGAUUUUGGGACAGGGGGCGCAAGCCUGACCCAGCCUUCCCGCGUGAAGGACGAGGCCCUUCGGUUUGUAAAGUUUUUUUGUACGGAAAGAAAGGCCUCGGGCUAAUCCCGGGGGCUCAUGACGUUCCCGAAAAAAAAAGCCCCGGCUAACUCCGUC